rnacentral:lncRNA from 1 species
UAAUAAUGAAAUAAAUUCACUAAGUAUAUAUAAGACCACUUGCUAGAGGAUUUGAUCAGAGCUUUCUUAUUUAAUCUUUAUCAAGUGUUUUUCCUUGAGACAUCUCAAGGAAUAUUGAGAAACUCACUUAUUAUAAGGGAGCGAUAUGAUAUUGUCGAAUCACGAGAGUUAUCUCAAAUUCUUCAUGGGUGACAAGAUCAUUAAAGAUCAUUCACCUCAAACUUUCAAGAAGUUCCAAGAACAUCUUGAUCAUCAAAGCCAUAAUAUCUUGAUCAAAG